rnacentral:rRNA from 1 species
UACGUAGGGUGCAAGCGUUGUCCGGAAUUAUUGGGCGUAAAGAGCUCGUAGGCGGUUUGUCGCGUCGGCCGUGAAAACUUGGGGCUUAACCCCGAGCCUGCGGUCGAUACGGGCAGACUUGAGUUCGGCAGGGGAGACUGGAAUUCCUGGUGUAGCGGUGAAAUGCGCAGAUAUCAGGAGGAACACCGGUGGCGAAGGCGGGUCUCUAGUACGGUACUGACGCUGAGACGCGAAAGCGUGGGGAGCGAACAGG